rnacentral:tRNA from 1 species
GAGGGUAUAGCUCAGUGGUAGAGUGCAUGCUUAGCAUGCAUAGGGUACUGGGUUCAAUCCCCAGGACUGCUA